GGGCCCGUAGCUCAGCUUGGUAGAGCAACAGGCUCAUAACCUGUGGGUCAAGGGUUCGAAUCCCUCCGGGCCCACCA
rnacentral:tRNA from 1 species